UCGCUUGUGUAAAUGUGGCAUCACUUCCGGUAUCACCGUUACCUUUUCAGUGCAGUAAGAAGCAGAUCUAAGCAAACACGGAGCUAUUUGUUGGUAUAACAAUGGUUCUUCAUUAGUAGACAAGCUGAGAAUCAGAUGUGGAUAGUGGCGCAUUAACUUUGAUGCCUUUGUGAAACUACGGUCUGACUGAAAAGUAACACAAAGGAAGGUUCAAUGGCUCAUGGAGGAGAAGCUUUGUCCUGUUCCAGCUAUCUGGAGCCCCAGGAGUCGAAGGCCAAUUCAUCUGGUCAAAGCUUCAGCAAGAAGUGUAUCAGCAGCUUCUAUGAUGGAGAAAAGGAGGAGAAGAAGAUCUACAGAUGUCCUCAGGGCAAGGAGACGAAGAGGAAGAGUCGAGUUGAUACCAAGAAGAACAUCCAGGACAAACAGAAAGAUGUGCAGCUGCUUAAAGAGAAGAUUCUGGUCAGCAGGUGGCGUCAUAACACCUAAGUCAUUGUCUAUUUCAGUGGUUUCCAAACUUUUUUGGGUUAUGAUCCCAUUAUAUGGGGGGAUAUCAAAAAUAUCUGGCGACCCCAGAGACAUUUCUUUUGAGCUGUAGUAACUUUUUGAUCAUGUUUAAUGUAUUGUUACUAGUAGCCAGAAUUAGAGCACAAAGUGAUGACGACUGACAAGAUGUGGCAGCUCAGUCGUUUUAUACUGUAUUUUAUUUGAACUAUAUAAUUAGAUUUGAGAAAGUAAAAGUAUAGAAUACAGUAGUUUGAGAUUGUGUAUGGUGCUUUAAUUUGAAAAAGAACACUUUAAAACAUUAAUAUAUACAGUUAGUCAGUCAUUUAAAAAAAUUAAAAAAUUAUUAGACAUUUCAGGUGACCUCAUUUGAAUUCCAGACUAGCCCACAUGGGGUCACGACCCCAAGGUUGAAAAUCACUUGUCUAUUUGCUUGGAAAAUUUGAAAUAUGUUUUGAUUUAAUGUUUAUUUGUCUAAAUGACUUCAAAUGAUAAAUAUAAGUGAUGAAAAUAAAAAAAAAUUC
rnacentral:lncRNA from 1 species